rnacentral:lncRNA from 1 species
GGGCAGGUGGUCGCAGCGUCCGCGCCCCCCAUGUCGAAGGUGCGGACACGGCCGCUCCAUCGACAUUCCAUUGGAAGCAUGAGGGGGCCGCCGCCGCCGUCCACAGAGGCAGGCGAAGACGCGGACGCGGGCGCCGCGUCGAUCGAUGCGGCGGCGGCGGCGGCAUCCCCGGCGUGGUCGUCGGCGAGGUCCCCCGCGGCGUCGACGGAGAGUUCGGGGAAAGGAGGGAGGUAGACUGUGCUCAGAUCCGGCAUGGCCGCCAGCGGGGAGGGGCUGUGGGCUAGGGUUUGGAGGGCAUUGG